rnacentral:rRNA from 1 species
AGAGUUUGAUUAUGGCUCAGAUUGAACGCUGGCGGCAGGCUUAACACAUGCAAGUCGAACGGUAACAUAAAGAAGCUUGCUUCUUUGAUGACGAGUGGCGGACGGGUGAGUAAUGCUUGGGAAUCUAGCUUAUGGAGGGGGAUAACUACGGGAAACUGUAGCUAAUACCGCGUAGAAUCGAGAGAUGAAAGUGUGGGACCUUCGGGCCACAUGCCAUAGGAUGAGCCCAAGUGGGAUUAGGUAGUUGGUGAGGUAAAGGCUCACCAAGCCGACGAUCUCUAGCUGGUCUGAGAGGAUGACCAGCCACACUGGGACUGAGACACGGCCCAG